rnacentral:rRNA from 1 species
AUUGAACGCUGGCGGCAGGCCUAACACAUGCAAGUCGAGCGUAUGAAGGUAUCUUGCUCCUGGCUUCAGCGGCUGACGGGUGAGUAAUGCCUAGGAAUCUGCCUGGUAGUGGGGGAUAACGUUCGGAAACGGGCUCUAAUACCGCAUACGUUCUGAGGGAGCAAGUGGGGGAUCUUCGGACCUCACUCUAUCAGAUCAGCCUAGGUAGGAUUAGCUAGUUGGUGGGGUAAAGGCCUACCAAGGCGACGAUCCGCAACUGGUCUGAGAGGAUGAUAAGUCACACAAGAACUGAGACAAGAUCAAGACUCCUACGGGAGGCAGCAGUGGAGAAUAUUGGACAAUGGGCGAGAGCCUGAUCCAGCCAAGCCGCGUGUGUGAAGAAGGUCUUCGGAUUGUAAAGCACUUUAAGUUGGGAGGAAGGGCAGUAAGUUAAUACCUUGCUGGUUUGAAGAUACCAACAGAAUAAGCACCGGCUAACUUCGUG